UUCAUACUCUGCCAACGAUGAACGACUCUCUUAGAUCGUCAACAACACACGCUUUGCGGAAGUUCUAAAACUCCACCAAAAAUCAAGCUAUGUCCACAGCACCACAUAAGCUGUCAACAAUGAGCCAGGAGCUACAAAAACCCGAAAGCGGAUUGACUGAAGGCCCAACAUCAUCUAGCGAAACCUCGUCAUCCACAACGGCAUCAAAACACCUGUAAAACCACGGGCGUAGACCUCAACACUAUGGUCGCAGUAACACUUCACCAUGGUGUCUCUUAUUCUACGCAACACUUCGAGAGAUAAGCGACUCCUCAGUACAGACAAGGAGUAAAUCAGCUAUGAAAAAUGCAUCACCAUCGCUACCGACUACGAGCAUGAUCGACCACCAAAACACGCUAUGCGGCCAAAAAACUAAUACCGGACCCUUGGUAUCGUCGUGACAUCCACGGUUGAGGCAGUCAUCAAUACGAUCCUCAACGACCACGACGAACUUAUACACUCACAGCAACAUUCAGUAUCACCAGUUUAGUCAACACUGGUAUAAGCACUCGCGAUUAAAAGAUCAGAUAAUAGUCAAAUAACAAAACUCCAAAUGCCACAGCGCAUCAGAGCGCAGUCGAUCAUAGCGCCAUCAAUUUAGCGCUUUCGAAAUAAACUUUGCCAAAGAUCUAGCCCAAGACAAGAAACGAAAAAAAAAAAAACAUAUUAGCCCAUCAAAAUAAGAUAAAUGUCAGUAGAACAUGAAAAAUAUUGUUGUAUAUAAUAUCUACCUAAUUCGGCUCUAGUUGUUAUUUAGUGCCCAAAUAACAACCAGGAGAUAACAUUGAUAGUGAAUAACGCAAUUCGAUAGCCGUAAAUAUCACCAUAUAUAGCCGUAGACAGUAAGUGUAUUCCCUCUGUAGUAGCCGCUAUGGGCGAAAAUACUCUUGCAAAUCUGUCACUAAUUAAAGUGGAAGCAAGUAGUCAUCUUUGUGUAGUGCUAAGAUUUAUGUUGCAGAUACCACAUCAACAGAAAUCGAAAUCCUAGCUAGGAGCAAUCUGUCGAAUCUGUGUAGUUAGUAGUAUAGAACAAUAGCAUAGAACGAACGCUUCAGCCACAUUAGAGCGAAACAUCGGGCUGAACGAAAGAUGAUACUACAGUCAUCACCCUCACACUCUCUCGUUACUGUAACAGCAAGAGCGGCAAUUGGCCUAACAAAGCAAAUCGCUACGAACAUCGAUCACUUUUCGUAGUGCUCCGAGUCCCUCCAGAUCGCAUCCGCGACACCGCCAUCUGCAAACCUGCUAAUCCAGCGUGGUCGGAACAAAUCAUUAAGACAUCUCUUCGAAUCGGAAGAUCUAGCGUACAGGCAUUCGGAGGAGGAAAGAAGCAGCUACAAAAGUACCACCUAUCGCGCGUCGAUUGAACCACCAUUUUGCCUAGCACGAGCACAUAAAAUUCCAUAGGAGGAUAUCACCAGAUCAAAGCUGCGCGCGAAGCAUGAUUACCAAAGAAGGCUCUCAAACAGAGAGCCUUUUAUAGCGUGCUUCUCAGCGGCGCACGCGUCCCCGUCGUGCCAUCGCAAUCAGCACAUGCCGGCAUCGCCAUCUCGCCGGACUUCAUAGUGUGUAGCAAGCCAUACGAUCCGAACCGAAUCCGUUCGUUAUUCUAGUACCUCCCUGCUCAGUGACCGUGUUAGUGCAAAAGAAGAGACGCGAUAGUGUUAGUGUGACAGUCCGCAUGCAAACCGUGUGCGAGGAGUGAUCCGUUGAAGAAUCAUUGCCGAUCGAAUCGUCAUCGAUCACGGUCGUGUGUGUGCGUACACUCAACAAGAGUGAAUUCGUAAACAAGAGCUCAGUUGAGACGAAGCACUCGUCCACGAUCCGGUGGACACAUCAACGGUGAGGCAGUAGUUUGCGUGCGUGACCUAACAGCGACAUACACAGUUCAAGUCGCCUGUGUUGUACUUCUCGGCGCUCAAGAGUGCCUGUGCGUGUGUGCCACCUAAUCAGUAAACAUUAGCAAGUGCGUUUGCUUUCGAAUUACCCCGUCGCGAUACCUGAGUUGCGGAAUGUGAAUUAAGAAGCGGCCACGAAGAUUUCAUGUUCCAGCGUUUGGCCUGAAGGUGAAUGAGAGUUGUGAGGCAGCAUUUAGAUUGAUCGUCUGCGGACGGUGUAUUUUGCGGAAAGUGUGUAGCUGAAACGGCAGUGUAGCCAGCUUGUCCGAAUACUCAAGCGCUCGAAAGCGAGCAAUCGAACAUCGUCACGUCAACGGUGAACAUGAAGCAGCAAAGGGGCCCCUCCUCAUCGCAUCAGUGUGUCAAACGGCAGUGUCAUCGUCGGCAGGAGUAGUAAGCUUAGGGUAUAAGCAUAAGGUAGGCCUAGAUGAUAAGAAUGUUUGUAAUCAAAAUGGGCACAAUACACUCGAUAUCAAAUGUUAGUCCUUCAUAAAAUACUUAUUGGCUGCCCGAGUAUCUCAAUGACUAUUAGUGUGCUUUAGCCGGGCGAGAAGAGAAAAGGUAACAGAGCUCGUUCACCCAAUGAGUAGCGCAUGGCAUAUCUCUAAUUUGUUGAGUUUUGUUGAUUCAUGUUGACUUUAUAUUUGGAUUUACCUUCAUCUCCACAUAAACACAUGAAUA
rnacentral:lncRNA from 1 species